UGCAGUCGAGCGAACGGAUAAGGAGCUUGCUCCUUUGAAGUUAGCGGCGGACGGGUGAGUAACACGUGGGUAACCUACCUAUAAGACUGGGAUAACUUCGGGAAACCGGAGCUAAUACCGGAUAACAUUUAGAACCGCAUGGUUCUAAAGUGAAAGAUGGUUUUGCUAUCACUUAUAGAUGGACCCGCGCCGUAUUAGCUAGUUGGUAAGGUAACGGCUUACCAAGGCGACGAUACGUAGCCGACCUGAGAGGGUGAUCGGCCACACUGGAACUGAGACACGGUCCAGACUCCUACGGGAGGCAGCAGUAGGGAAUCUUCCGCAAUGGGCGAAAGCCUGACGGAGCAACGCCGCGUGAGUGAUGAAGGGUUUCGGCUCGUAAAACUCUGUUAUUAGGGAAGAACAAAUGUGUAAGUAACUGUGCACAUCUUGACGGUACCUAAUCAGAAAGCCACGGCUAACUACGUGCCAGCAGCCGCGGUAAUACGUAGGUGGCAAGCGUUAUCCGGAAUUAUUGGGCGUAAAGCGCGCGUAGGCGGUUUCUUAAGUCUGAUGUGAAAGCCCACGGCUCAACCGUGGAGGGUCAUUGGAAACUGGGAAACUUGAGUGCAGAAGAGGAAAGUGGAAUUCCAUGUGUAGCGGUGAAAUGCGCAGAGAUAUGGAGGAACACCAGUGGCGAAGGCGACUUUCUGGUCUGUAACUGACGCUGAUGUGCGAAAGCGUGGGGAUCAAACAGGAUUAGAUACCCUGGUAGUCCACGCCGUAAACGAUGAGUGCUAAGUGUUA
rnacentral:rRNA from 5 species